rnacentral:rRNA from 1 species
GACGAACGCUUGCGGCGUGCUUAACACAUGCCAGUCGAACGAAGUGGCGAACGGGUGAGUAACGCGUAAUCAACCUGCCCUUCAGAGGGGGACAACAGUUGGAAACGACUGCUAAUACCGCAUACUGAAGGAGGGGAUUGCGUCUGAUUAGCUAGUUGGAGGGGUAAAGGCCCACCAAGACGAUGAUCAGUAGCCGGUAUGAGAGGAUGAGCGGCCACAGUGGGACUGAGACACGGCCCAGACUCCUACGGGAGGCAGCAGAGGGGAAGCUUACGAAAUGGACGAAAGUCUGACGGAGCAACGCCGCGUGAGUGAGGACGGCCUUCGGGUGGUAAAGCUCUGUUAAUCGGGACGCGGUACCGGAAUAGAAAGCCACGGCUAACUACGUGCCAGCAGCCGCGGUAAUUC